rnacentral:lncRNA from 15 species
AACAACUAAACAUUGUCUGUAAUUUUAUAGCUGAUUUUUGAUUGUGAUUGAUUGCAGUGACUCUUGUGAAAACCAUUGGGAGCAAACCAGAUGUGACUCCAAUCUGCACCAAUGAAAAAGAGAAGAUCAUCACACUUGUAAUAUGUAAGAUCAGAACAGAGAUGAGAAGAGAAGAGUGUCGUCUGACAUAUUAUCUUCGAAAAGGUUUUAUACAUAAAUGUGACUCCAGAUUCACACUUAUGAUGGAGAAUCAGACUAUGUUUCUCCACCUGACCAGUUUAACACCAGUGGAUAGUGGGAACUUCACCUGUGAGUGUUCACAUCAUGGUGGAACAUAUAUUCUCCAUCUGAAUAUCACUGUGGAAGAGGAUGAAGACCCCGACAGUACAACAGGAACAGAAAUAUCUUUAGUUAAUAUUGGACUUGGAAUUGGUGUAUUUAUAUUCAUCAUUAUAACCGGAGUUAUCCUGGGAGUUAUCUUCAGAAAGAUUCACCAUAGAGUCUGUUCAAGUUUAGCAACAUCUGGAUUAUCUGUGUGUGAAUCUCCUGGCUCUCUGGUGAGUAAUGUAUUCUUAUGUUCUGUAUCUUUAAAGUAAGCAGCCAGUUUAAUGUUUGUAAUGAUACAUACACCACUACAUACUAUGUUCAAACAUACAUUUCCUGCACAUUUUAAUGUUCAGUUUAACCACAGUAACCUUCGUGGUUUGCACUGUGGGGGCAGUUUGUCUACUUCUUUUUGCAUGAGUGUAAAUGGAAAGACAGUCAAGAUUUUUAGAUUCAGGCCUUGGUGAUGAUUUUAUCUAAUCCAACCACAAUGAUGAUCCUGAUUUGUAUGACUGUCAAUGCAAAGGAUGCAAAGAUAUUAAAUAUCAGUGUAUUUGAUUCAGGGCAGAAAGUGUUUCAACCAUUGUUCAACAUUAUUUAGUCAGAUGCAUCGAGUUUUCUACUUUUUUAUUAGGACCAAGAUGACCCUGAUGACCUCGACAGAAGCCUUCAGCAACCAGAAAGUGAUCUCUACCAAACUAUCUCAAAUCCAGCCAGCAAAAUAGUGACUGUCCACUUGGAUAGAAUGGAAAAAUAGACAAAAGAGAAACAGAUUCAAGUUACAAAAUGUACAUAUUUCUGUGUAAAGAUAUUUGUUAUAUGAGGUGUUUUCCAAAAUACUCAGACUGAAGUUUGUUAAAACACGUCUGUAUGUGAAUGUAUCUGUGUCAUUGGAACUGUAUGAAGAAUAAAUAUCUCAAAGGCAUUGCAGUCACACAAACUACGUUACAGUUUGUUUCUUCAUUUCAACAACUAUAAUUCACUUUCAUCACUUACAGUUGUAGCAAGUUAUAACAGUGCUGUGUGAGUAAGACAUUGGUUUCAAGCUGCAAACAACAUGCUGCUUUCUAAUUAAAGCUCAAGCUCAGGCGUCUCAGUAUGAGAUCACCACAAACAUACGUCAGUUUUAGCAGGUCAAGUGAUCUUUAUUGGCCCUAACCAUGUGAACUGUAAGCAGUGCAGGCAGUAGUUAAUAUUGAUUGGUCUCUUAAUGGAUCUAGCUCAAACUGUAGUCUGAAGACCUGAUGUUUGAUAAUCUGUAAUCUUAUAGACACAUGUAACACAGUAAUCUGUCUGUAUUUAUUAAUUUGCUACAGUUUUACCUUUCAGAGAGUCCUCCUGUAGCAGCACUUCCUUUACAGGAGAGUUCACGCCACCAAGCUGUGAGACUUUGAGGUUUAUGAACAGUACAAAGAGGUCUGUGCGUCCUCCCUUCAGUACAGCAUGUUGUGCUCUACCAGCAGCAGUGACAUUGUUGUAUAGACGUCUCAAACAGUAUGGAUAGAUGGAAACUGUGGUUCGUUGUCCUCCUGACUCUAACUUAUUGUAUCAGCAGCACAGGUACUGUAGAUACCUUUUAUAAUUUGACUUAUACAAGACGUUUUUGUUUUGUUAAUCAUUCUGGCUUUGGUUUAAAG